ACUCUCAGAAUCCAUCUGCACAAGCCCAGCCAAUACAGGAGGAAUAAAAAGGAGAGCUGCGGCUCUGCUUGCUAUCUGGUCCUUCCCAUUCCUGUAGGCUGGGUCUGCCUUACUCCACAUCUCACACCACUUAGGGCUUCUCUUUCAGAAGGAGAAGUCAGCCUCCUGAAGGUCAUUGCACUAUCUGAGCCGCAGAGCCUGGCUGGCAGCCUCCCCAAGACGUGGAAUGGCAGUUGCCUAGCAUGUCCUAUUGGGAGCACUCAUGACCUAAGGAGUGUGAAGGAGGCUUCGAAAGGAAACUGACGUGGGGCAGGUGGUCACUGUUUUGACCAACUGUGCUGGAUGCCAGCAGUGCUGAUGACCCCUUCCUAUGCCAUGGUCUGCAGUAAGAAGAAGACUGUGGGGCUCUGGGAUAUCAGAGAAUAAAUGGUACAGCUUUGCAGCCCA